rnacentral:rRNA from 1 species
ACCGUGUACAAGUCUCCUGGAAGGGAGCGUCAUAGAGGGUGAGAAUCCCGUCUCUGACACGGACUACCAGUGCUAUGUGAUGCGCUCUCGACGAGUCGAGUUGUUUGGGAAUGCAGCUCAAAAUGGGUGGUAAAUUCCAUCUAAAGCUAAAUACAGGCGAGAGACCGAUAGCGAACAAGUACCGUGAGGGAAAGAUGAAAAGAACUUUGGAAAGAGAGUUAAACAGUACGUGAAAUUGCUGAAAGGGAAACGCUUGAUGUCAGUCGCGUCGGCCGGGGAUCAACCUUGCUUGAUUGCUGGGUGUACUUCCUGGUGGACGGGUCAGCAUCAGUUUCGAUCGGCGUAGAAAGAUUAGGGGAACGUGGCACUCCUCGGAGUGUGUUAUAGCCCUUGGUCAUAUGCGGUGGUCGGGACUGAGGAACUCGGCACGAC